rnacentral:rRNA from 1 species
GUCGAGCGGACCGACGGGAGCUUGCUCCCUUAGGUCAGCGGCGGACGGGUGAGUAACACGUGGGUAACCUGCCUGUAAGACUGGGAUAACUCCGGGAAACCGGGGCUAAUACCGGAUGCUUGAUUGAACCGCAUGGUUCAAUCAUAAAAGGUGGCUUUUAGCUACCACUUACAGAUGGACCCGCGGCGCAUUAGCUAGUUGGUGAGGUAACGGCUCACCAAGGCGACGAUGCGUAGCCGACCUGAGAGGGUGAUCGGCCACACUGGGACUGAGACACGGCCCAGACUCCUACGGGAGGCAGCAGUAGGGAAUCUUCCGCAAUGGACGAAAGUCUGACGGAGCAACGCCGCGUGAGUGAUGAAGGUUUUCGGAUCGUAAAACUCUGUUGUUAGGGAAGAACAAGUACCGUUCGAAUAGGGCGGCACCUUGACGGUACCUAACCAGAAAGCCACGGCUAACUACGUGCCAGCAGCCGCGGUAAUACGUAGGUGGCAAGCGUUGUCCGGAAUUAUUGGGCGUAAAGCGCGCGCAGGCGGUUUCUUAAGUCUGAUGUGAAAGCCCCCGGCUCAACCGGGGAGGGUCAUUGGAAACUGGGGAACUUGAGUGCAGAAGAGGAGAGUGGAAUUCCACGUGUAGCGGUGAAAUGCGUAGAGAUGUGGAGGAACACCAGUGGCGAAGGCGACUCUCUGGUCUGUAACUGACGCUGAGGCGCGAAAGCGUGGGGAGCGAACAGGAUUAGAUACCCUGGUAGUCCACGCCGUAAACGAUGAGUGCUAAGUGUUAGAGGGUUUCCGCCCUUUAGUGCUGCAGCAAACGCAUUAAGCACUCCGCC